ensembl:lncRNA
GCUACUGUAGGGGAAGAGGGAGGCCAGCCCUGUGGAGAGCUCCAGUACACUAGGUCAUCUGUAUUUAACGUGUCCAGCAUUAUGAUAACCCAUUUUAGAAAUACUCAUGGAAUGGUUAUAACACCCCUGUGAGGGAGGUGGCAUCAUUUUUACAGAUAAAGGAAACUGAAGUAGACAUUAAGGGCCCCAGAGGGAUUUGAACCUAGGAUGCCUGGUUUGGGGGAUGUUCACCGCAGGUGCUGCUGACAUAAAUCAAGAUGCUUAAUUCUGGGUUCCGUCUUGGAGUGGCGCUGGAGAAGAGGGUCAGCAUCGACAGCAGGGCUGGCUGCCCACUCUGUCCUGUUUGCUCAGCUGUAAAAUGAGUAAGCUCCAAUUUGGAGGGGUGGCUCCAGUUUAAGGGGGAGGGGGUAAAGCCUUGACAUGCCCUUUUGGGUUUUCAGCACCAGGUAUGAGUUGGGCACAGGUCAAGCCGCUGGGCAUGGCAGCGAACACAGGUCAAGCGCGGGCUUCCCGGCUGACGUUGUGAUCAGGCAGACAGACUUUAAAUGGCUGAACGAAUGGAUAAUGUCAAGUCAAUGAUCAUGUCACGAUCCUCAGGCAGAAGAGGUGCCUCCCGCUCCCACAAUCCUGUCUGGGGUCGGACCCUGAGUGGCAAGGUGUCAUCUCCUGUAAUACCCAGACAGCCUCCAACCUCUUUGUCAUUUUAAGGCAGACCAGGUGAGACAAACAGGCCAUCUGCAUGUGAAGGCAGAUCCCUGUGAGGCGGAUGAGCCCCUCCGGGGUCUGUAAUGGGCCCUUCCUCCCCAGGGCACCCUGCCCUCUACAAAGCGGUGGUGGGGCCUGGCCCCUUGCCCUCCUGGGACUAAGCCUUGGGGGAGGGUGAUGGCAGCGGGGACACCGAGAAGGCUGAGCCCCUGGGCGCUGCAUUCAAGGACUCUCCACAUGUUUGUGCCCCGAAAGUAGGCACCUCUCUUGCUGCUAAGACCUGAGUUACCCCCCUAAUACCCUGGGGGCCCUGGAGGGGGGAGGGGAGAGGAGGUGGAGACAUAUGUGUCAAAGGUGGUAGGUGGUCCGGGGGAAGUAGAAAAAACCUGAGCUCAAGGCCAUAGAGCUAGCUGCCAUGGUGCAGAGUCCAGGGGAGGGUCCGGGCCCCUUCCUGCCUUAGAGGUUCUCUGUGCAAUUACACGUGUCAGCAAGAGUAAGAAUGUGUUUUCUUGUGGAAUCUGUAUGACUUUGGGGUUUGUAUAAAUGUGAGGGCACGGAAACCUUACAUGGGGCAGGGCUGCAGAUGUAUUUCUGCGCGUGCAUGUAUGUGAGUCCGUGUGUGCUCCAGGUUUCCUGCUAUGGUCUGAGCACCCCUCUGCCUGGGUCCCUCUGAAGCCUUCGCUUCCUCAUCUGUAAAAUGGGGACACCAGGUCACUGGGUACCAUUGUGAUUCCGAUUACCUUAUUCCCUCUCUACUACUGACCUUUUGUCCAAACACUGGCCAGUCAUUUCUGCUCCAAUCAAUCUGACAACACCCUGGGGAACAUAUGUAUACCUAUGGCUGAUCCAUAUUGAUGCACGGCAGACACCAACACAAUAUUGUAAUUAUCCUUCAAUUUAAAAUGUUUUUUAAAAAAUUGACAAUACCUUGAUUUUUAAGUCUAAAACCUGCUUCUCCUAAUUUGCUCAGCAACUAUUAAUAUUUGCUAAUCACCCUGGAUU